UCGUAACAUCUAAGGCCACGAUAAUAUGCGGAAUGGAUUUGAGGACCUUUGUCAUGUUUGCCAAUGGACGAAUCACUUAUUGCGCACAACUGCACAAACAAUCAUCCCUGGAGCAAGAAGAAUGAAACCUGCUUGGACUCAAAAAAAUCCACUCAGCUACAGUGAGAGCCUUCGCAGGUCAUUCCAACUCUCAAGAUAACAGAACAAGUGUCCCUUAAAAGUCUCGCAAAGUGUUCGUGUACAAACAUUAACGUUACAUAAAUCGUAUUAAAACGAUAGUAUUGUUCCACCUUAU